UUAUUACUCCCUCCGAUCCAUAUUAGUUGUCACUGAAAUGGAUGUAUCUAGACAUAUUUCAAUGCUAGAUACAUCCGUUUGAGCAACAACCAAUUUAGAUCGGAGGGAGUGUUUU
rnacentral:pre_miRNA from 1 species